AGAGUUUGAUCAUGGCUCAGGAUUAACGCUGGCGGCGUGCCUAACACAUGCAAGUCGAACGAGGGGGCAACCCCUAGUGGCAGACGGGUGAGUAACACGUGGUCAACCUACCGCUUUGUGGGGGAUAACCAGCUGAAAGGCUGGCUAAUACCGCAUACGUCCGCGAUCGGCAUCGGUCGCGGAUAAAAGGAGCAAUUCGC
rnacentral:rRNA from 1 species